UUCCCCAGACUUAAAUGGGAUUGCUUCUAAGUUUUCAAGAUUAAGUAUAAUAUUGGCUAUAAAUUUUAUCUACUUAUUGUCUAUACUUGAACAACUGGAGAAUUUUUUUCUAUGUCUUGUUUAGAUAAUUUUUGUUAAAAUAAAUGGGUUGCUUUUUUCCCUAAAUGCUUUAAGAAUCUAUUGAAAUCAUUAUAUGACUUUUUUCAUUUAAUGUUUUAUUAUAGUGAAUUCCAUUAAUAAAAUUCCUGGUGUUGCAUUUCUGACAUAAACAAUGAUUAGUAAAAUUAUAUUUUUUCAAAAGCAUUGACUAUUUUUUGUUAAGUUCUUGCCACUUAAAAAUCUGUUUAUCUGGAUAUGGUAGCAUACCACUAUAAUCCCAGUGACCAGGGAGGCUGAGGCAGGAAGAUGGCAAAUUCAAGGUCAGUUUUAGCAACUUCAUGAAAUCUGUCCCCAAAUAAAAAAUUUAAAAAGGGCUGUGCAUGUAGCUCAGUGGUAAAGCACCCCUGGGUUCAAUGCCCAGGACUAAAAAAUAAAUAAAUUUUAAAAUGUAAGUAAAUAAAUAAAUAUGUAUGUUUGUAAAUGGAAAUGAAUGACAGUGUUUGUGUGUGUGAGUGAGUGUGCUUGCACAUACAUUUGUAUCAAGUUUAAUAUUUGUAUGUCUUUGGAAUCACCAUUACACUGGAGUCAAUAAUAGUAAUUAAAAAAAUCAAAUCAGUAGUUAAAAUUUCCCAGUUUGAUACUAUUAAACCUUUAACUAAUUUACAAUCUUAUACAUAUUCUUCUGCAAAAUGGGAAAUGGAAAACUCUAUGAAACUAGUCUUAGGAAGCUAGAAUGAUCUGGAUUCUUAGAUAAGUCAAAAUUUAAACACACAUACACAUACACACACACACACAUCCAAUUUCUGGUUAGAAAAAGAUUUCUUAAAUAAAACUAAAGAAGUAAGGGGAAUUAAGUAGAUAAAAUUGAACACAUUAAAAUAAGAAGUUUUAUUCAUUGCAGGGUUUAAAGAAGUAUGAAGAUACUUUCAAAGUAUAUGCUUCACAAGGGUCAAGAUCAAAAAUGUAUUUUAGAAAAAACUAGAAUCAAUAACAAAAAAAAAUUUACAGGUAUGGGCAAAAGUAAUAAUUCUGACAAAUACUGUAAAAACAUCAAGCAACUAUAAUUUUAUACAUUUCUGGUGAGACUAUAAAUUCAUGCACCCAUUUAGCAAAACAAUCGGUCAUUAUCUUUUUUAAAAAAUAUUUUUAUAGUUGUCAAUGGACUUUAUUUUGUUUAUUUAUAUGUGGUGCUGAAAAUCGAACUCAGUGCCUCACACAUGCUAGGCAAGCAUUCUAAUACUGAGCCACAAUCCCAGGCUGGUCAGGUCAUUAUCUUUUAAUAUUGAAUAGGCAUAUACUCUAAAACCUGUUCAAAGGAAUACACCCAAUGCACUGAGAUGUGUUCAAGAGUAUUGAUGGUAGCAACAUUUCUGAUAGCAAAACUUUAAAAAUAAACAGAAGUCCGUUGGUAAGACAGUGAAUUUUAAUAUAUUCAUACAAUACACCCUGUGAAUUAAUUAAAAAGACUUGAGUAGAGCUAUGUAUAUUUAAAUAUGUCUCAUGAGCAGAGUGUUGAAAAAGACAAGAUGCAUUAAAACCAUAUAGCAUAACACUUUCAGGAAGGCCAAAGACAUGUAUUUAAAAUAUAAAUAGAACAUUGUGUAGGAAGUCAUACAUUAUGAUGGUAAACAAAGAAAAGAUGCGUACAAUUGUUAGAAGUCUGUCUACUCUUGGGAGGUUAUAGGGGAACUGGUAUAGGGAGGAAAGGUGUACAACACUUGGGGCACUUCAACAGUACUGCUGAUGUCCAGUUAGUCUUAUAGAAGGUUGAUGAGUAUUUUAAAAAUUGUUUUUAUACCUUAAACCUCUAUCUUAUUUAUGUUCUUUAAGAUACACAGAAUAUUCCAUAAUAAUAAAAAUUAAAUUUCACAUUUGCACUGGCUAUGUAAUGUAUUUUAAUUGUUUAUCAACCUCCUAAAAACGCUGUCCUGAAAACUAUGAUUUAUUCAAAGGUAUUAUAAACUAAUUAAAUUUUAAGAUGGUGUUCAGAGGUCUCAAGUUCUUGCAAAUGAUUGUGCUUUUUGAAAAGGUACCUUAUGAACAACUAAUUAAAAUAUUUAAUUGAAAAUAUUAAACUUACACUGGCAAAAAAAAAGUGUAAACCCA
rnacentral:lncRNA from 1 species